UUUUGUAUUUUCUGUGGCAGUAGAAAGCAAACACAGCGCACAACUACCCGCAAAGCGUUGGCACGACAUCCCAGCGUGCACAUUGGCAUUUUUUUUUUUUUUUCGCGUCCAAGAGAAGGAGCAGCGCCCGGAUCUUCUACAUGCACUGAAGGCAAAUGUCAUACUGCUGCGUACCCUACUGCAAGUCGGACAGAAAAAAGAAGCUUGGAAUUAGCUUUCAUGAAUUUCCUGGAAAUGAGACGCACCGGCAGGCUUGGUUGAAGGCUAUAUCAAGGAAGGAUUUCAUUCCCAAUGAAAAUUCCAACAGCAGUGUAGUCUGCAGUCUGCACUUUCGAGAUUCUGAUUUCUCAUGUUCCACAAUUAAACGGCGACGCCUCAAGCCAGAUGCUGUGCCUAGCAUUUUUACUGAUUACCCACGCUACAUGCAGCCUGCUGCUCCAAAGAAAAGGCGUAAAUUAGUGCGACAGCUUUCAAUUUCUCGUAAGAAAACCAUUACAUCAACAUUGCCAAAAGAAGGACGCAAGGAAAAUGCAGCUGACGAUUUCCACAGUGAAGAUAUUUGCACAUCAGUUGUUUCUGCAAACAUUCUGUCGAAUCAUCCAUCAACCACGACGCAGCUAAGUCCUGACAAUUACGACGCCACCCAUCAAGCUGUGGUUUCAGUAGAAGCUGCUGUACAAGCCGAUUUUCGUAUUCCACGUAAACAUCCUGAUGCCAGGGCUACAAAUCGUAUGAGGGCACAAAUAUUCAGGAAUAACAACGCCAUUCAAAAACUACGGGAAGAAAAUGAAAGGCUCAAAAAGAAGCUUGAAAUGUUUGAAAAUAUAUCACAGUGCAUUCAGCAGGAAAAAGAUGUUAGCAGAGGGUGGGCAGUUGAACAUUUUGUCUUGAAGCUGCUUGAUAGAGCAAAUAUUGAAUCCAGGGAGACAUUAUCCGGUGUCGACCUAAGAUUUUGUUAGGGAAUGUGUGGUUCUUUACCUAUCCCAAAGCCAUAUUGCUACAUACACACUAGAGGUUCGAUAAAACUUGUCGAAAAAUACCUUGUGCUAUGCUGGCAAGUCAUGCAGUGACAGUGCCGUCACCCCACUAAUGAAAGAAUGUCUCCAAGCAGAACUGAGCAAACUCAAAAAAGAACGGCUCUGCCCACUCUUUGUGGAUGAAAGGGCCAUAUCCUUUAAAUGAAGAUAUGACCCAAAAAUGGACUGCUUCUUUGGGAAACAAACCGCCAGAGAUCACCUCACUGCGCAAGGGAACUCAGCGCUUGCAAGCAAGACGCAUUGCUAUAUGGCCGCAGGUUUGUCAACGGCCUACAAAAUACCAUGCGUGCUUUUUUGCAAAUAGGUUGAGUGGUACAGAUCUGUAUCACUUAACAAUUCAUGUUAUUGCUGAAGUGGAAAAAUGUGGACUCUAGGUUGUAUGGAUCGUCACGGACAAUCGCAAUAUAUAUGUUACUAUGAUGUGCUACCUCGGCGAUGGUUCUCUGAAACCGGUUGUAACACAUCCAUGUGAUGCAGAAAGUAGGCUGUUCUUACCUUUUGAUCAGCGCCAUAUGUUACAGAAUGUUUGAAGUCUCUGAAAGGUGUUGUGACCGACGGAAAGCUACCAAUAACAAGAAAGUUCGUCAAACAGCUCUGCGAACUUCAAAAGAAUGAGACUGCUAAGCCCGUUCGGUCCUUCACGCAGAAGCAUGUAGAACCCGCAGACGUUUAAGAAAAUCCACGUUGGAAGAGCAAUGCAGCUAUUUUCAAACUAAAUUUCUGCAGUAGCAUUCCUGAAGGACUGUCCCUGUUAUCAACAAAAUGGCAGAAAUGUUCCGAAAUGCUGGUGCAACAAUACAUUUCAUGCGAAUAAUACAAAGGUGGUUUGCCAUUUGCAAUGUUGCCGAUAGAAUCACUUAAAAAUCCAGACCAAAUGCAGUUCUAUUGCAAAACUGAUGAAAGCCUGCAGUGGCUUGAAGAGGAGUUCCUGCAGUACCUCCAAGCCAUUAACGACACCUGCAAACGAAAUUCGAAGAAGUUUCUCAAUGCUGAGAUAUAUGAAGCACUUUUCCAUACUGGCCAGUGCACCGUCCUGCGAGAUAGUGGCUUUUUCUAUGUUUUGACAAGAGACCUUUCAAGUGAUUCUGUGGAGCUGCUUUCUGGUGGGCUGCGACAAAUGGCAGGGGGCAACGACUGCCUAGAUGCCAGGACUGUCACCUUCAGUCUGGAAAAGAUACUACCAACUGGAAUUCUAUGUGUGUCUCAGACCUCGAACGUUGGGACAAGGCAAAGUGUUUUGAGCACACAUAGUCCACCUGUGAGUGUGAAGUUUCCUGCCACAUCUGCCCCAGAAGGCCCACUCGCAACAGCGGCACGGGCAAGGGUCUCAAGAAGCUGCGGUAUCUGCCAUUUGCCAUCCCUGACAACCCUGCCAUCUGCCAGCCCUGACACAGCACAAGCAAAAGAAUGCAGCAAGCAUUUUCACUUGUGAUGGUCUCAUUCUGAAUUUUUUUUCAAGGGAAAAGCAACACUGCUAAAGUUUUAAUGGGCAUUUAAGUUCCUAGUGAAUUGCAAAACUAGCAAUGUUUUUCUGAAAUAAAUUGUUCAGCACGUUUACAUACCAUCUCAGAGGUUGUCUACUUUUGAAGACUGCAUGCUUUUGA